GCAAGAGGAGACACGCAGCAGCCCGCGGCUCGCCCCGCUGAUGCUCGGGGCACCGCAGUGUUGUGAGUGGCAAUGUUCCCUUGGGGUUCGCAGCUCGGCCCCCCACAUUCCAGGGUAAUUCCAGGCUGUGCUGGCAGCGAGGGGCAAGGGCAGGAGCUGGGCUCCCAGCCAGGCACGGCGGGGGCUGCCCGCCGGAGUGGGGUGCGUGAGUCCCACCGUGCAGGAGCUGCGUUUUGUUCCCUCCUGCUUGCCCGGACUCCUUCCCCUCGCCUCUUAGCGCUGUGUGUGCAGGUUUGGUUUGGUUUGGUUUGGUUUGGUUUGGUUUGGUUUUUAUAAAGUCCACAAACUUGUGAUUUUCCGUGCAGCUUGUGGGGAGCGAAUCAGUAUGAGGGAGUACCCUUCUCAUUGAAACCGGAGGUGAAUAAAUUAUGAACAGGCGAAAAUUGGAACAAUGUCUCUGGGCGAGUGUUUUGUAGAGAGUUACUAUUCCAGGCUUUGAAAUCAAUUGAUACAUAAUUAGAUUCCUCAAGAGAGGACAAACAAGGGCUGCCAUUCACCCCCUCCUUCUCCCACAUGCAUCCCAAAGAGAGACCAGAGGCUUUAGCAGAAACCAGACAGCCAGCAUUCUCCAGCACUAAAAACAUAUUCUGGCUUUGGGUGUUCAUUUAACAAACAGAUCCUUGAACCUUGCUUCUGUUUUCAGUUUAUUUCGACCAUGUUUCUUUGUGUUCAGUUCAUUAAAACAUGUCUCUUUUGAGAUCUAUUUUUACAUUUCAAGAAUCCAGUAUUGUACUUCUGUGGUGGCAGAUGGCCCUAGACAUCCAAGCAUAAGCUCUUUCCUGCUUUUUUCCCCCUCUUUCUUAGGUCCUUUCUGCGCUGCACUUGAAGCUGUGAGCAGCAACCAUUCCUUUUUGCAAAGUCUGGAGUUGGCUCUCAAUUCAGCACAGGGUUCUAACAUGUUACAGUCCCUGCUGUACCCUCGAGGUGUAUUUUAAGCACAAGGGAUACUACUGUCUGUAAAAUAAAUGCCCUCCACAGCUGGAUAGAUCCUUGUCACACGGGUGGCACGCAGGCUAAUUUUGCAUCUUUGCCUCAUAUUUGCCUCAUGUUAAUGUCCUGUGGUCCCCCAAAUGAAUUUAUUAGUGGUUAAGGUUGAGUUUCAUUCUUCAGGGAGACAGAAAAUACAGAUUUGGGUUAGUAAAAGAUGGGAAAAAAACAUGUGACGAUUAGAAAAAAUAUUGUAAAGGUUAUUGAACAAAAUAGCAGUGCCCCUAGCCAAGUGGACCACCUAAUUAAAGGCAAUGGCUUGGCUCCCCUGGCUACCCUUGGGAUUGAUGUGCUUAGCCAAAACCACUUCCAAACCUGGUAUCAAACACAGACCAGAGUGCUGCACCCAUGAGCAUAAUUUUGGUUACAUAUCAAUAGGACUAAAAAGACCUGUACCAGCAACAAGAAAAGCCUACCUGAGCUGCUGUAGAAUCAUUUCUUAGGUAGGGCAGCAGUAUUAUGGCUUAAAAUAAGCUGAGUGUCUUGAAGACAUUACAAACAGAAUGACAAAUUCCUACAUCUUAUUAAGUCACGGAAUCUUUAGCAGAGGGUAUGGUAAAUCUGAAUUAUGUAUUCUUUGGAAGCACAGGCACAGGUAAAUCUAUGUCCUCUCCAGUAAAAAGAUAAAAAGGCUGAGAGGUUUUUGUCCAAAGAUAUUUGUUGGCAUAAUAACCAAAGCAGAAGUACUCAAACAUAUAUAUAAGAGGACGCUAAUCUUUUCUGUGCUUGCUGCAUAGAUGGUAUUUAUUUAUGUCUUCAUGUGUGUAGGUGGCUACUUCAGUAUCUGAUUUUCUGUGGUUCACUGUCUUACCUGAGUUAACCAACAGUCUACAGACAGAGUGAGCUGGAAGAUCUUGGUCACUGCAGGCAAGACAGCUUUUUGCUGCUCCAUGGACGCUGCACAAACACGCUGACAGAGUCUGCUCCCUGACGGGAAAAGGGACAAUUCCAGAAACACACAGGCAGUGCUCUUCCUUGAUGCCUGCUCCUGUAUCCCAGCCUUGACCACAGCAGCCCUGCUACUCCGGAAUAGGUGAACUGCAGGCUGGCUUCCUGCCUCAAGCAGUCUCUUGCUUUGAGAUCCUCUCUACCUUCUUCUGAUGGGACUGCACCCAGAAAUGAGAAGUGGCAGAACUCACUGUGUUAGAAGGUAUUGCCACCUCACUAAACACUUGGGACUUCUGCAAGCCAGAGACCAUUCUUUUUACCUCCUUUUGAGUGUCUGCUCUCUCCAAAUUCAGAAGGUGCUGUUGAAGACAAUUUUGGAGUGAAACAACCCACAGACUCACAGCCUGGAUGGAGGGGAGACUUUGGCAGCUGUGAGCCAAGUCUUGGAGAGGUCAGAGAUAGACAGUAAGAACACAAAAUUAGAGGGAAACAUUCACAGGGCAGGGGAGGUUUUGGGGCUUGUCAGGAAAGGAAAGAAGAAGGAAAAAAGGCUCUGCAGAUCAAAGCUUGAUUAGUCCUCCACAAAAAUGCCCAGGUCCUUCCAACAUUUGCUUUUUUUCCCCUUCCCCAUCAUCCCUGCUAUUGCUUGUCUUGGUGAUUUGCUUGAAAAUGUAUUAGACAUCUCCAGAUCUUUCACUGUUAGAAGCAUGAAAAUAGAGGAUAGGUACUAUUAUCCACUAAGCAACACUCCCACAGUUAGCACAGUCCUCUAGAGAGACCUGCCAGAUAAUGGCUUUUGAGAGGAGCUUAGAGACAUCUGGAGUAGCCAUUUUCCCUCUUUGUACAUGGAAAAUAAAGAUUAGCUAGGGCACAGGGAGAGGCGGGGGCUAAGGAUGUAAUGAAGGGCAAUGGAUAAACCAAUGUCACAUUGCCCAUCUGUGUGACUGGCUUCAGGUCUACUGCAAAAUGUAUCAUGCAGGCUCCCCUGAAAUCCAUGGAUUUCUGUGCAGGUGGAAGAGCUCCCCGUUGGUUUGUGAGGCUGAGGUCUCACAUCACAGGCUCUUUGGGGUGGAUUUUGUCUAUAAAGCAGCUGGUGCUUUCUGAGUGGCAGAUGCAGAAAUAAAUUUCUUUUUCUUUUUAUGACUAAGUCUUUUCAAGAGUUUUCUUUAUAUGACCUGGUUUUCUUUUUAAAUUUUGAUUAUUUUCAUGCAAAAGACUUAUUCCAACCAAUUCUGCAUCAGGGGCCACUAGAGUUUGGGACUGAGCUCAGUUGUCAUUCGCUGGGCGGCAUAGCCCACCAGAACGUGGAAGCUCCAGCAGUUGUAAUCAGAGAUGCUCACAAGGGCUGCAGAGGCGAUAGUCACAUUUAAAGCAUCAAUGGCAUGCUGGGGAUGACAUUCCUAGACACGGUGUCUGCUUAAAAAGGUAUUUGUGGAUUUUGUAGUGUGGUUAUAGAAGAGAUGCUCUGGGGGAUAAAGCCAAGACUCACAACUCUUAGCGUGCAGGUUCAGCCCCGCACAGGAACUGCCCAAACCGCCUUGCAACAUAAAACGAUGGAAAAAUCACAUUCGGUGGGGCUGCGGCCGGGGUGGGCAAAGGGCGAGACGGGCCGGUUUGGGAAAUCCUUCGCUUUCCCCCGAACACCCCCAGCCCCCGCCGGGAGCGGGGCCGCAACAGCACCGCGUCGUGUGCGCUCCCUCUGCUGGCCCCGCGGCGGCCGCACGCCGGGAGGGGACAGACCCUCCCCAGGGUCCCGCAGCUCCGCAAACGCGAGCACAGAGAGCGCCCAGGCAAUUCCUCCCGGCCAGGGAGCAUCCCCAGCGCAGCCCCCGCCCGGCUGCUGCUGGAGCGGAGAACGUGACAGCCAAAGGUGGAGGAGGAUGGGGAGUUGUGGGGACGCGCUCCCUGCAUCCCCCGCAUCCAGGCAUUCUAGGAAAAAAUAGUCUCUUGAGCCAUUUUCCAAAAGUCUGCAUUGGAAUGGACUCACAGACACGUCGCCGCCCAAAAGCGCUAAGCAUCCACCUGGAAAAAGAGAGCUGAGGAACAAACGUGUAAGGUCGCACCAUGUCUCACUACAAUUUCACCUCCCAGUUUUGGGGGAUAAACCCAAAGGCGGUGAGGGCAUGACAGAGGCACUGACAACACUUUCUCACGUGCUGCCAUGUUUCUGGGUGAAGAAGUGUCUGAGGGGUCCCACUUAUGCUCCUGUCGUGAAGACCUUAAUCUUGAGCAAGAAACAAAGCUGCUACUCCAGACUGGGUGAACAGGGGUGUGGAGGUAACCUGUGCUGUCUCUGGUUACAAGAUGGAAGAGCUACAGGUGGAAAAGGGGCAACAAUUAAACAAGUCUAUUUUGGGACAGAGACACCUGUCCACAGCCACCCACCAGGAGCUAAAGUCACUUGUUCAACCCCAGUGAGAUACAGCUCAUGUGAUGCUUAACGCAACAAGUUUUACCAGCACCUGCAAGAUGCUAAGGGAGGUGUUUGGGGGGCAGCUGAUCAUGCUGGAGUGAGGAAAUAAAGAUCUUUGUACUGCUCCUGUUCUCACAGCAGCUGGACUUCUCAAACAAGGUGGUCAUCACUGGAACAGUUUGUAUCUGACACCUUUCUAACACAGCACUUCAGAACUAACCUGGUUUUGAGAUAAAGAGAACAAAAUGCAUGGAUUUUAAAAUUAUUAGUUGAGAUCAUCACGUGCGCUUCCAAAACCUUGACAGUUUUGUCUGCUUCUUUAGACCAAUGAAGGCAAUAAUAAAGUUCUGACUCAUUUGAUAUUUAUCCAUGCA